rnacentral:sRNA from 1 species
AUGCACCUGGCUCCAGCUUGGCCAGGUCGUUUUGCCCUGGUGGGCCUGUGCCUCACCUCAAAAAUGGGGUUUCUUCCCUUAUGAGGAAGACCCAUGAAUUAAUAACGGAAUUGCCAGGAAUGCUAAAAACUAUCUAAAUGCCAUGUAUUGUUUUCAAGCUGUUACUCCUGGAAGGGGCUGGGUUGGCAUUGUUUUAGAGGUUAGGAGCCAAACAUCAGCUCAUCUAUUCUCCAGCUGUUGUUCGUCCUCCAGCUUCCUGCAAUAGUCAGGCACAGGGUCUUAUAAAAAUGGGUUUGUGCUGCUGUAUGUUUCGCAUCACCAUCCUGUGGUCACCUGAUCUCACCGUCUAGGUCAACUUUGAUUCCUUUCUUCUUGCCCUGAUGGCCAGUGACAUACACAGAUCCCAUCGACUCUAACUCUGCAGUCAGUGUCUUGUAUUCUUCUCCUCCCCCUAGCCUCUGGAACAGGACCCAAGGACAUUAUCAUUAUACAACUAUCUGCCCUUUUGAAGCAGAUGGUCACCAUGUUUAGGUAUUAGCAGUCCCGUAUGU